rnacentral:rRNA from 1 species
AGCGAACGCUGGCGGCAGGCCUAACACAUGCAAGUCGAACGAAGUCUUCGGACUUAGUGGCGGACGGGUGAGUAACACGUGGGAACGUGCCUUUAGGUUCGGAAUAACUCAGGGAAACUUGUGCUAAUACCGAAUGUGCCCUUCGGGGGAAAGAUUUAUCGCCUUUAGAGCGGCCCGCGUCUGAUUAGCUAGUUGGUGAGGUAAUGGCUAACCAAGGCUACGAACAGUAGCUGGUCUGAGAGGAUGACCAGACACAUUGGGACUGAGACACGGCCCAAAAGCCUACGGGAGGAAGCAGUGGGGAAUCUUGCGCAAUGGGCGAAAGACUCACGCAGCCAUGCCACGUGGAUGAUGAAGGUCUUAGGAUUGUAAAAUCCUUUCACCGGUGAAGAUAAUGACUGUAGCCGGAGAAGAAGCCCCGGCUAACUUCGAGCCAGCCGCCGCGGUAACAC